CUUGUUUGUUUCAACUGUGACAAGAAAAAAGGAAAAAAAGUCAUAUUCGUUUCUAAAUUCGGCAGUUUUGUUUAUCUUUCUCGACUUCUGAUUUCGUUUCGUUUAGGUUAUGUCUUAAAAAAUAAUUAUUUAUAAGCUUUUGAGUUGAAAUAUACCUUAAUGCAUAUCUAAAUAAUUAAAAAAAAUCAAUUUUUUCGUCCCUCGCGAAGAAACGAAACAGUAUUUUUGAAUAUUUGGAUUACAAACUAUUAUUUUAUGAGUUUUAUGUGUUGUGUUUACGUGAUGUGUAAUGUGUAUUUUGUACCUGUUGGAUAAUAUUUUGAAACAUAUUUAAUUAAACAAAAAGCAUCUGUAUUACAGGUGUGACUGCUAAGUGGUCGUACUCGCCACUUUAACCAACCAUUGGUGGGACCAUGGUAGGACCUUCAGAGAUUAUAAUGCGAAUUUUUCAUACCAUGUAAAUCUAUAUACAUAUAUUAAUAAAUGCGUUUGUUUUA
rnacentral:lncRNA from 1 species